AGCGAACGCUGGCGGCAGGCUUAACACAUGCAAGUCGAGCGGGCACUUUCGGGUGUCAGCGGCGGACGGGUGAGUAACGCGGGGGAACGUGCCCGCUGGUUCGGAAUCACUCAGGGAAACUUGAGCUAAUACCGGAUACGCCCAUAUGGGGAAAGGCAUGCUGCCGGAGGAUCGUCCCGCGACUGAUUAGCUAGUUGGCGAUGUAACGGCGCACCAAGGCGACGAUCAGUAGCGGGUAUGAGAGGAUGCUCCGCCACACUGGGACUGAGGCACGGCCCAGACUCCUACGGGAGGCAGCAGUGGGGUAUAUUAGACAAUGGGCGCAAGCCUUAUCCGGCCAUGCCGCGUGAGUCAUCAAGGCCUUAGGAUUGUAAAGCUCUUUUUUCCGAGACGCUAAUGACGGUACCGGAGGAAUAAGCCCCGGCUAACUUCGUG
rnacentral:rRNA from 1 species